GAUGAACGCUGGCGGCGUGCCUAAUACAUGCAAGUCGAGCGAACGGACGAGAAGCUUGCUUCUCUGAUGUUAGCGGCGGACGGGUGAGUAACACGUGUAUAACCUACCUAUAAGACUGGGAUAACUUCGGGAAACCGGAGCUAAUACCGGAUAAUAUUUUGAACCGCAUGGUUCAAUAGAGAAAGACGGUCUUUCUGUCACUUAUAGAUGGAUCCGCGCUGCAUUAGCUAGUUGGUACGGUAACGGCUUACCAAGGCAACGAUGCAUAGCCGACCUGAGAGGGGGAUCGGCCACACUGGAACUGAGACACGGUCCAGACUCCUACGGGAGGCAGCAGUAGGGAAUCUUCCGCAAUGGGCGAAAGCCUGACGGGGCAACGCCGCGUGAGUGAUGAAGGUCUUCGGAUCGUAAAACUCUGUUAUUAGGGAAGAACAUAUGUGUAAGUAACUGUGCACAUCUUGACGGUACCUAAUCAGAAAGCCACGGCUAACUACGUG
rnacentral:rRNA from 1 species